CCCAGGAACCUCGUGCUUCUAGGUAAUGAAUCUCCCACCACAGCUCCACUGGAUGGAACCGCCCCAGCUUCCUCCAGCCCAAACUGCUGCACCCACCACCCAGAGAAAUGGAAGUCAAGGACUCAGCAGUCCAAGGCAGCCCUUCUGAAGCAACUUCAGGGGCUCAGCAAAUAUUUGUUGAGAACCUCCUCUGUGCCUGGCUGGAUCAGGGUGGGGCUGUAGAGCUGCACAUCAUAGUCUGCAUCCGGGUCAGCCCUGAAUCUCAGGCACUGGAAGGUUACCCUGAUGGGCAGGACCCACUCCCAUCACUAAGAGAACAUCAAAAGGGCAGGUGUGGGGGUGGAUAGGAAGAUCAGGAUCUCUGAAAGGAAAUUUGCAUUGUGGUAACCUACAGACUCCACCUGGACCCAUGAUUCAUGACUCAACCAGUCCACCCAGAAGCUGACUCAGAGCAUAAGGAGCAUUUUCCACACCCCUAGGAUUUCAUCUCCAACCAAUCAGCAUUCCCCAUUCUCUAGCCCCUGUCCACCAAACUAUUCUUUAAAAACCUUAGCUCUAAGCUUUAUUUAUUUAUUUAAGUAAUACACUCCUGUCUUCCACUUAGCUGGUUCUGUAUUUAUUAAACUCUUUCUCUACUGCCAUACCGCUAUCUCAGUAAAUUAGCUCUAUCUGUGCAGUUGGCAAGAAGAACUGGUCAGGUGGUUAAAACACUACAGAUAGGCAUUGUUAAACAAAACAAUGGACUAAGCCCCUGCACUAGGCUCCAACAGAACAGACAAAAUCAAAAUGGAGUCACUCAUGCUAAAUGUCAUAUAAUCAAACUGAAACUCUAAGGAAGCUGAUAAAUCCUAAAACAGACCUUUUUUUUUCCUGAAAACAGGAAAUUUCAGUCUACCAGAGUCAACCUAGUAAGAAAGUUGCCUCUUCUUUGACCUUUAUGAGAAAGUAACCUGAAGUAACCUGACAUUAAUGAAUCAGCUUCUCUUCUACUAUUCUGUUUCCUUACUCCCACCUUACAAAGCUCACUGCUCUGCUUGCCCUAGUGAGAGAACUCAUUCUAUUGUGUAGAGUAGAGUCAGCCAUGAUUCAUGAAUUAUGAAUAAAAGACAAUUAGAUCUAUAA
rnacentral:lncRNA from 1 species